CUUUCGUCUAAUUGUAUGACUUUGCUUUUCACAUUUCUCCGCUAUGUUAGAAUGAGUUUUUCACAUAAUCAGACAGGCAGUAAAAUUGCUUUUACACUUUUUCCGGCUCAGCACCGCGCCCCCCGAGAAAAGAGAGAUGAGAAGGAUUCCGCCUCUGACUUUCAGUUGUAUCCUGGUGUGUCCUGGGCUGCGAUGUCCUGCGCCGGCCAUGCAUGACCAAUUUCCAAUUGUGCCAAGUGUCAAGAGUGGGGCCCGAGUGUAAUGCCAUCAUGUUUAGUUAGUUAUGCACUUUUGUCUGCUGCUGUAGUGCCCCCAUUCGUGAAUUCCCACAUUGUGAUUUCGGGCCAGGACAUUGCCAAAGUUUCGGACUCUCCUGACUUUUGUUUGCGUGAAAUGGGGCAGGGGAGAGUUUAGCCAACUUCUGAUGUAGGUAUAACUCAUAAAUAGGAGAUGGUUCUAGUUUAGCACUUCUGGGAGUAUGGGAAUCUGUGGUCUUUUUGGAGCUAAUGGAGGACCCUUGUUCUAAUCAUCACAUCACACUUGAUAGAUUGUUUCGCGAAAUGGGAUUGAACAAUUGAAAUAUUCCAUGUUAUCAUUGCACUAAAGUAAAUAUUUUCUUAGUAUUAGCUACUCUGUCGCUAAAAAUACAUUCAAUUUUCACUAUUAAAUGUAUUUGUUAAAUGAAAUGAAAUUUUUUAAUCCAUAAAGGUAGUCAUAUAACAAUCUCAUCCCUGCUCAAAGUAAACUGUUUACCUUGGAUAUUAUCCCGAGCGAAAGCACUCUCUUUUCCAUCUCCAUUGGAAAUAUUUUCAUUUCCCCCUGUCUACUUUUCCCCAUCUAGUGACAGGCUGCCGCCCACUUUUAAUAAUGUGGAAUAAAAACGCCUUUCAGUGAAGUUUUUUCGGAGAAUUGGAAAAAGUUCCCCCGUAAACUUUGGCUCCACAAAACGUCAGGCUUUAAUGACAACCACCAGCCACCGCACUCGCACGCACUCGACAGGUUGAAUUAUACUUAUUUCUUGUAGUUUCAUAGAGAGUCGACUCGGUCUUUGGCUUUUAUGGUGCAAGUUGUUCUCGGUUUCUGCUCCCGCCCUCCAGGGGCAGGAACAUGGACACGGACAAGGAUAUGGACAGGGAUACGGACAUCGACACGGAUACGGACACGGACACAGACACAGACGGAGGCUAUGGACUUCAUGGGUGGGGGAGGAUAGGAGAGAAUUGCAAGUCGACAACAAGUAAACUGACUGGAAGAACAAAGGAUCUACUACAUAGAAUCAACUUGCAAAGUACACUUGGAUACAAAAUAUCUAGGUACUUUUCAACUCAGGUUUAAAAACAGGCAAAGAAAUGAUUAGGACAUUUCUUAAUAAUAUAACGAGUGAAUGAAAUGUAA
rnacentral:sRNA from 1 species